GAUGAACGCUAGCUACAGGCUUAACACAUGCAAGUCGCGGGGCAGCAUGAAUUUAGCUUGCUAAAUUUGAUGGCGACCGGCGCACGGGUGAGUAACGCGUAUCCAACCUUCCCCUGUCCACGGGAUAGCCCGUCGAAAGGCGGAUUAAUACCGUAUGAGGUCACAUGACGGCAUCAGAGUGUGACGAAAGGUUUGGCGGACAGGGAUGGGGAUGCGUCCGAUUAGCUUGUUGGCGGGGUAACGGCCCACCAAGGCUACGAUCGGUAGGGGUUCUGAGAGGAAGGUCCCCCCACAUUGGAACUGAGACACGGUCCAAACUCCUACGGGAGGCAGCAGUGAGGAAUAUUGGUCAAUGGGCGAGAGCCUGAACCAGCCAAGUAGCGUGCAGGAUGACGGCCCUAUGGGUUGUAAACUGCUUUUAUGCGGGGAUAACGUGCGCCACGUGUGGUGUAUUGCAGGUACCGCAUGAAUAAGGACCGGCUAAUUCCGUGCCAGCAGCCG
rnacentral:rRNA from 1 species